UAAAAAGAUAAGCUAAAUUAAGCUUUUGGGUUCAUACCCCUUUAAUGAAGGUAUAAAUCCUUCUCUUUUU
rnacentral:tRNA from 1 species